CCAUGAGGACAUCUGUGUCUCCAGACCCUCAGCUGUUGUAAAGUUGAACCAAGCCUUUGUCAUGCUAAGGUCCCAUCUUGCUUUGCAUUGCAGGCAGCUGAGAUGCUUCUCUUUGGGAAGAAGCUCACAGCAAGAGAGGCUUGGGCUCAAGGCCUUGUCACUGAAGUUUUCCCUGAAAGCACUUUUGAGACAGAAGUCUGGACCAGGCUGAAAACAUAUGCGAAGCUCCCGCCAAACUCCAUGAGAAUUUCCAAAGAGUUAAUCAGGAAGAAUGAGAAAGAAAAGCUCCAUGCAGUUAACGAGGAGGAGUGCACUACUUUACGAGCAAGGUGGCUGUCAGAGGAGUGCAUCAACGCAAUCAUGAGCUUUGUUACCAGAAAGCCAAAGCUGUGAAGUCCACGACAAUGGCAAGACUCCUCACAAGAAGGACAGACUGUGAGUUCCAGUUCCAAGGACUUGAAUGGCACAUACUUCUCUGAGCCUUUUCCUGGAUUAACUUAGCAACUAUGAUGAGAUUGCUUCACAGCACUGAUAAAUAGAACUUUUCAUAAAUCAAGCCUUAAGAAUUCAUGUCUGGGGCUGGAAAGAUGGCUCAGUGGUUAAGAGCACUAACUGCUCUUCUAGAGGUCCAGAGUUCAAAUCCCAGCAACCACAUGGUGGCUCGCAACCAUCUGUAAUGAGAUCUGAUGCCUUCUUCUGGUGUGUCUGAAGACAGCUACAGUGUACUUACAUAUAAUAAAUAUUAAAAAGAUUUUAAACAAA
rnacentral:lncRNA from 1 species